rnacentral:rRNA from 1 species
GGCAUGCUACACAUGCAAGUCGAACGGUAACAGGGAGCUUGCUCCGCUGACGAGUGGCGAACGGGUGAGUAAUAUAUCGGAACGUACCCAAGAGUGGGGGAUAACGUAGCGAAAGUUACGCUAAUACCGCAUACGAUCUAUGGAUGAAAGCAGGGGACCUUCGGGCCUUGUGCUCCUGGAGCGGCCGAUAUCUGAUUAGCUAGUUGGUGAGGUAAAGGCUCACCAAGGCGACGAUCAGUAGCUGGUCUGAGAGGACGACCAGCCACACUGGAACUGAGACACGGUCCAGACUCCUACGGGAGGCAGCAGUGGGGAAUUUUGGACAAUGGGCGCAAGCCUGAUCCAGCAAUGCCGCGUGAGUGAAGAAGGCCUUCGGGUUGUAAAGCUCUUUUGUCAGGGAAGAAACGGCUGUGGCUAAUAUCCACGGCUAAUGACGGUACCUGAAGAAUAAGCACCGGCUAACUACGUGCCAGCAGCCGCGGUAAUACGUAGGGUGCAAGCGUUAAUCGGAAUUACUGGGCGUAAAGCGUGCGCAGGCGGUUUUGUAAGUCUGUCGUGAAAUCCCCGGGCUCAACCUGGGAAUUGCGAUGGAGACUGCAAGGCUAGAAUCUGGCAGAGGGGGGUAGAAUUCCACGUGUAGCAGUGAAAGGCGUAGAGAUGUGGAGGAACACCGAUGGCGAAGGCAGCCCCCUGGGUCAAGAUUGACGCUCAUGCACGAAAGCGUGGGGAGCAAACAGGAUUAGAUACCCUGGUAGUCCACGCCCUAAACGAUGUCUACUAGUUGUCGGGUUUUAAUUAACUUGGUAACGCAGCUAACGCGUGAAGUAGACCGCCUGGGGAGUACG